AACGAACGCUGGCGGCAGGCUUAACACAUGCAAGUCGGACGCCCCGCAAGGGGAGUGGCAGACGGGUGAGUAACGCGUGGGAAUCUACCCAGUUCUACGGAACAACACAGGGAAACUUGUGCUAAUACCGUAUACGCCCUACGGGGGAAAGAUUUAUCGGAAUUGGAUGAGCCCGCGUUGGAUUAGCUAGUUGGUGGGGUAAUGGCCUACCAAGGCGACGAUCCAUAGCUGGUCUGAGAGGAUGAUCAGCCACACUGGGACUGAGACACGGCCCAGACUCCUACGGGAGGCAGCAGUGGGGAAUAUUGGACAAUGGGCGAAAGCCUGAUCCAGCCAUGCCGCGUGAGUGAUGAAGGCCUUAGGGUUGUAAAGCUCUUUCAGUGGGGAAGAUAGUGACGGUACCCACAGAAGAAGCCCCGGCUAACUUCGUGCCAGCCGCCGCGGUAAGAC
rnacentral:rRNA from 1 species